GCCUCCAUGGCGCAGUAGGUAGCGCGUGAGUCUCAUAAUCUCAAGGUCGUCAGUUCGAUCCUCACUCGGGGCA
rfam:Ciona savignyi cont_26761, whole genome shotgun sequence.